rnacentral:tRNA from 1 species
AGGAAUGUGGCUUAGUGGUAGAGUGCUUGCCUAGCAUGCAUGAAGCCCUAGGUUCGAUUCCGCAGUACCA